ACCGCCCGUCACGCUAUGGAAGCCGCUAACACCUGAAGUCGCUGAGCCAACCGCAAGGAGGCAGGCGCCUAGGGUGGGAAGGGUAACUGGAGCG
rnacentral:rRNA from 1 species